rnacentral:rRNA from 1 species
GUGCUCUUCGGAGUGACUCGAGUGGCGAACGGGUGAGUAACACGUGGGUGAUCUGCCCUGCACUUUGGGAUAAGCCUGGGAAACUGGGUCUAAUACCGAAUACACCCUGCUGGUCGCAUGGCCUGGUGGGGGAAAGCUUUUGCGGUGUGGGAUGGGCCCGCGGCCUAUCAGCUUGUUGGUGGGGUGAUGGCCUACCAAGGCGACGACGGGUAGCCGGCCUGAGAGGGUGACCGGCCACACUGGGACUGAGAUACGGCCCAGACUCCUACGGGAGGCAGCAGUGGGGAAUAUUGCACAAUGGGCGCAAGCCUGAUGCAGCGACGCCGCGUGAGGGAUGACGGCCUUCGGGUUGUAAACCUCUUUCAAUAGGGACGAAGCGCAAGUGACGGUACCUAUAGAAGAAGCACCGGCCAACUACGUGCCAGCAGCCGCGGUAAUACGUAGGGUGCGAGCGUUGUCCGGAAUUACUGGGCGUAAAGAGCUCGUAGGUGGUUUGUCGCGUUGUUCGUGAAAACUCACAGCUUAACUGUGGGCGUGCGGGCGAUACGGGCAGACUUGAGUACUGCAGGGGAGACUGGAAUUCCUGGUGUAGCGGUGGAAUGCGCAGAUAUCAGGAGGAACACCGGUGGCGAAGGCGGGUCUCUGGGCAGUAACUGACGCUGAGGAGCGAAAGCGUGGGGAGCGAACAGGAUUAGAUACCCUGGUAGUCCACGCCGUAAACGGUGGGUACUAGGUGUGGGUUUCCUUCCUUGGGAUCCGUGCCGUAGCUAACGCAUUAAGUACCCCGCCUGGGGAGUACGGCCGCAAGGCUAAAACUCAAAGAAAUUGACGGGGGCCCGCACAAGCGGCGGAGCAUGUGGAUUAAUUCGAUGCAACGCGAAGAACCUUACCUGGGUUUGACAUGCACAGGACGCCGGCAGAGAUGUCGGUUCCCUUGUGGCCUGUGUGCAGGUGGUGCAUGGCUGUCGUCAGCUCGUGUCGUGAGAUGUUGGGUUAAGUCCCGCAACGAGCGCAACCCUUGUCUCAUGUUGCCAGCACGUCAUGGUGGGGACUCGUGAGAGACUGCCGGGGUCAACUCGGAGGAAGGUGGGGAUGACGUCAAGUCAUCAUGCCCCUUAUGUCCAGGGCUUCACACAUGCUACAAUGGCCGGUACAAAGGGCUGCGAUGCCGUGAGGUGGAGCGAAUCCUUUCAAAGCCGGUCUCAGUUCGGAUCGGGGUCUGCAACUCGACCCCGUGAAGUCGGAGUCGCUAGUAAUCGCAGAUCAGCAACGCUGCGGUGAAUACGUUCCCGGGCCUUGUACACACCGCCCGUCACGUCAUGAAAGUCGGUAACACCCGAAGCCGGU